rnacentral:rRNA from 1 species
GACAGAGGAUGCAAGCGUUAUCCGGAAUGAUUGGGCGUAAAGAGCUCGUAGGCGGUCUGUCGCGUCGGCUGUGAAAUCCCGGAGCUCAACUCCGGGUCUGCAGUCGAUACGGGCAAACUGGAGUACUGCAGGGGAGAUUGGAAUUCCAGGUGUAGCGGUGAAAUGCGUAGAUAUCUGGAGGAACACCGGUGGCGAAGGCGGCAUCCUGGACCGGCAUUGACGCUGAGGCGCGAAAGCUAGGGGAGCAAACGGGG